UGGGCAUGCGCAUUUGUGACCUCGUGGUCCAAAACACGUUCUAGGAUUCUAUCUGCUUUCAUCGGAGCUAUCGUAGUCAAUGGAGCUUAUCAGAUCUACAGAUCAAUACAUGUACAAAACAGAUUUCUGAUAUCGGUGAACAGCAUAUCACAACUUCCAGAUCGUCACCUUUGCAUUCACAGUCGUGUGAGCAGUUGAACCACACAGUGUAGGUCGAGGGAACAGCUGAUGUACUUCGCUUGUUGCUACAGGGGCUUGUUGCAGUUGAGGAGCCCUUACUAGCAAAGAUUGAUGACUCCAUAGACCUGGCCGGAGAUGCAUAGAAAUGAGGUUUGAUUAAUUUAAGGGGAGGAGGGAGGGGUGGGGUUUCGCUGGUGACUAAGACAGCAGCUAAGCUUAUCCCCUUCCUCCACCCUAUAUACCUCUUAUCAGUUAACAAUUUAUUUUCUCCGUAGUAAUGAUUAGAGUCAGUAUAUCUAAUCAGUAUACUGUAUUGGUCAGUAUACCGUAUUGGGCCAAGCGAGGAAAGAUCAUCACUGAUUUAUUAGUAAUUUUCGCGGAAGUUUAGCGUGUCGGUGAAACUUGAAUAUUCGUACAGCUCAGGAUAAUGACGUUGAACCUAUUGCAGUAGAAACAUAGUAUUAAUUUUUGUAUAAUGUACAAAAAUAACCGGUAGGAGGUGGGUGAUCUUCUGCAUCCAAAAUGUGUAAAAAGUGUAGCGAGAACAGUAACUUUAUGUUAACGUUGACUUGAGUCAGCCUGUAUUACAAUACCUAUCUACCGGUGUCAUAUUUUACUGAUAUAAAUUUUGACUAGAUACAUAAACAAGAAGGCGGCUAGAAUUAGCCUCAUGAAUUAGCCGCCCUCGUUUUGUAGAAGGGGUUAUUUCAAAGGGCGGUUAAUUUACAUGUAUGUGACUAAGAUUAUUAUAAUACAUAAAAAUUAGCUAGUCGUAAAAUUCAUCAAAAGGGUCGGUCCUAUUCAUAAUUAAUACUUAAUUGCUGUUGUAAUUGAAAAUGAAGAUUGAAUGUGCUUGGUGGCAACACUGUAGUUCCAUCUACCAGCCUCUAAGAUGCGGUAAAGUGACUUUAUAACACCAGUGUUAAGUCCACGUUAAUCUCAUCUCUAUUUUUACAAUAGUUUUUUAGUCCAUAAACUGUGUUCUUAGGGGCCUGCUCUGGGUGUAGUUACAUCUCUUUGUCAUUAAUAACGAUGUUCGAAUAGAAAAAACACCAGCGGCACGAGCGGCACGUAAUAAUGAGAUGCAUGCAUAUGUGUGUGUGGGACUAUUUGCACACGUUGUAUUAGAUUUGUAUGAGCGGUUAUUUCAAAGGGCGGUUAUUUAUGUGACUAAGAUUAUUAUAAUACAUAAAAAUUAGCUAGUUGUAAAAUUCAUCAAAAGGGUCGGUCCUCGUUGGCUGUCAUGUGCAUUUUUGCCACUUGCAAGCACAAUAAAGUUGAGAGUGAUUAUGCUGUUGGUGGGAGAGUGACUGGAGGGCAGAGAAAUUGAGCUGUUGGUAAGAGGGUAGCUGGAGGGCAGAGAGAUUAAGCUGUUGGGGAGAGGGUAUAAUAGGAAGCAGGCACUCACUCUCGCUAGGCGGUGAAGUCUGGGACAAGGCGUGUCGAGUCUGCCAAGCCUGAAGUGCCUGAGGUCGCUCCUGCACCUUGCCGCAGAGAUGAUGCCGGCUUCGAAAACCCCUUUGCUGGAGGCAGCUCCAAGAAGUCCAGAAAAGCCCCAGAGUAAGUCCUCCAGGUUGAAGUCCUCUGGUGACUCUGGGAGCCAUUGGAGAGACGGGAUAUGUUCUGAAUCCACAACAAAUCGAUGUACACAUGCACACUUUUUAAAUACAGCCAUUGUGACCAGAGCGUCAUGCAACGCCGAGUGCGGCCCCUCUUGGCAGCUUUAGACAAGUCUUUCAAGCUGUACAGGCCCUUGUGGUUGGGGAGACCUCGCCCCCUCAGGUCAGGCAUGAGACAUCUACUUCGGGUGUAAACCCUUUGUAUGUCCCUUACCCGAUCUGUCACUGUGGAUGCUGCAUCCCACAACCAUGCACUCUCCAAGACACUCUCCAGAGCCACCCCAUCUGUCAUUGACGCAAGUGGCAGUGUAACAUCAGUGAACUUGGCGGUAAAAUUUGAAUUUCUGAUUAUAACGUCCUGUGACUGUUUUGUGCCGCGAGUCAUGACAAAACUGGAAGGAAAAAACAACUAUGCCAGUGAUUCGAAAAUAACUAGGGUGACAAAAGGAAGCUUCAAUUGUGUGUGUGUGUGUGUGUAAAAGUGCAUACACAUUGGAGCCAUACCAAUCAAGUUUCUUUGUAGCAUCGUGGGUGAUAAUCAAUCUUAGAAUUGCCUCCAAACAUUUUUUCCCCGGGCCAUUCCGCCACUCACGCUUCAACCUUGGCAGACUUGCCUCUACCUUUUCAAAUUCGAUCUCCAUCCUUCCUUGUAAUAAAAUCAUACUAAAUUGACACGAUAAUUUUGACAUUGUACGUAUAGUACAUACACACUCCAGAGCAAUAAGAUUAGUUUAAAUGAAAGGUCUAGUUCGUUUUGAAGCAGUAUGUAAUAACUGUACAGAAUAUGAAUACGGACUCACCUUGGUGCUAUGGAGUGUCUUAGAGAGUGCCUGAAAAAUAUUUAUCGUAAGACACUGUAAUGAAUGAGUGUGCGCAAAUGAACAUGUAUACUGGCCACCUCCGAGACACUCUGCCGCCACUAACUUAUUUACCAAAAUUUAACUCUUUAUCUACAUGUAUAAACCUGUGCUUGCUUUAUUAUUAACUGUACUUCAGUGUAUUUUUACACCAACUUGUACAACACAUUAAUAAUGGAACGGCUCAAAACCAAAUUGUCAAGGAUUCUUGUACUAGUAAAGAAGUGGCUAACUAUUGUGCGUUGAAAGUGUUACCCUCAAGACGAAUGAAGACAACCCAACCUCUUCCUGUUGCCAUUCUGAAUGCAGUAGAUGCCAAACACAUUGAAGCUAAACUUGUCUCUAAGCUGACGAACGAUACAGUCAUGUAAUUAUAGCACUGGUAAGCAGUCGUUACUAUUCUUAUUACCUUCUCGCCAAUCGUCACACACAGUUCCUCGUGAAUUAUAUAUAAUGCCACACCAGUAGUAGUAUACAAACUCACCAAUCUCUUCCAGGACGCAAUAACCCUCUUCCUCACACACAGUUUCAGUUCUACGGGAGUUAUAUAUAAUACCACACACAUGCAUGCACCAGUAUAGUAGUAGUAGUAUUAGUAUGCAAACUAAUCGAAAAUUUAAGUACAGCUGCACAAAUUUGUGGAUGCACUGUAUUGGGUUUCGUCAGCACAGUGUAGGCAACAUUAUAGAGUGCCCUACGAUAUUAUUGUAGCAACUGUGUGCUAACGACUAAGUUUCUGGUUAAAGAUCUUAAAGAAGACAUAAUUCAAAGAAGGCAUAAUUCUAAGACUGCAGGUUCUGGAGGAGGAACUGUCUGCCAGGUAUAUAAAUUUAUAAUGAAAUCAUUGACAGAGUGGGUGUAAUAAUUUACCAUGCGUUGAGCAUCUAAUUCGGCCCGCACUUUGUUGCGAAUGAUAUGCCUCUUCACCUUCCUUUCCUAUCAAUAAAUGUCGUGUAAAAACAUUUUUUAAAGGGGACUUACGGUGGAAUAGGAACCGGAUUUUUCUUAUUACAAGAAUUUUAGAAGGCCAGCGAAUAUGUAGGUCCUUUGUUCCUUAAGAACUGGUUAUUGUUAUAAGGGUGGCCAGGCAGUGGCAUUAAUAACUUACUGGGGAGAGAUCCUUGACCUCGGGGGAGGUGCCCGACCCAGGGCACCUUCUCUCCAGAGGCCCAGCAGUACGAAUCGGAUCGACAUCUUUGUUGGAAAAAUAUGUGGCUAAAAUAAUUUGUAGAAAAUCUGCAGAAACAAAAACGCUGUGAAGUCGGCUUGGGCAGGUGCCUCUGUGCCUACGAGGAAGUUCCUGGUCCACCUCCCCCCGUGACUCAGAUAUUAAUUUUCCGCAACGGCUUUCUUACCUGCACGGUCCUGCACGGUCAUAUAGAGAGGUAUCUCAGACACUGUUGUUGGUUUUAUUACUUCCGUGUGAUUUAUCUGUUGUUGCAACAGUCUGUCCGGUACCAGCCAACUAUAUAAUUAUUUAACUCUUUAUCAGAGCUAGGACACUUCGUGUUUAUUGUGUUUAUUGCGAAGGGGAUUUUACCCUAUGUUUUAGUUCUGUCGCUAUAGGUGGUGGUGGGGAAGGGGGGUACUGAGAAUUAGUUUUCAACUGUUGGGUUUCGUCAGCACAGUGUAGGCAACAUUAUAGAGUGCCCUACGAUAUUAUUGUAGCAACUUGUACUAACGAGUGUACUAACGACUAAGUUUAUGGUUAAAUGUUACCUUACCAACGACGUCAGCCUGGAGACAGGGGAGAGGACGGCACCAUGUUCGAACUUGAGAUGCCGAGAUUCUCAACAAAUUUCCUCGUUGUGAGAUCAUUACCCAUCAAUCCACGAGAGUAUUACAAUUGUAUGUACGAUAAAAAAAUGUUUUCUCUUGCGACAAUUAUCAUUCGCGUAGUGCAGUUUUUGCAAGUACUCCAUCACUCAGCCUAACUUAGAUAGGUUGGCUCACCUGAUGAUGCCACUAUUGUAACAGGCACGUGGCACAUGGCAUGUUGAAGAUGUGUCCAAUUCCAAGAAAGGUCUUGCCUCCUUCCAUGCACUGUUUAAUUUCGCUUUUAUUGAGGCAAACAUAAUUACGAUUAAUACAUGCAGGCCAGUUACAAUUGUCCUGCAUAUGCAUGCCUCGAACACUUUAUUGGGAAUGCUUCUAUGGUACUCAUCCUGAAUCUUUGCCCUUUUGACACAGGUGCUUUCUAAAGAGCAGUUCACCUGCGAAUAGACUAUGCAUAACACACACAACCAUGUACAUGACACGAUUAGCCUGCAUGGGAGCAAGUACCAGUGCUAAUACGACCUCCAAGAGCAAGUCCAAGCUGGUGGUAAAGAAAAAAUUCAGCCUCCAUCACAUAAUUAUAGCACACGAUUUAUAUUAUACAAAUUCAUUCAACACUAGAUAAUUAUAAACAAGGAGAUAAUUAUCACCCGAUUUAUACUACUAGGUGUCGGAGGAGAAUUCCUUGUCUUUGACCUUUGCCCUUUGUGAGUAGCCUUCGCUAAAGUAGCCAGCGGUUUGUUAAGGCAUCCCAUGGUUUCUUUAUUUGGAUCCCUACAGAAAAAAUGUUAAAAAAAACCGCAUUCAAUUAAUGGCAUGCUGAUUGUCUAAAGGAAAUCUAAAGUAACGGCUGAACAUUUGCAUACCGCAUUCUUCCGAAAUUACGCAUACCUGAUGCAAUCACGUCUGACAGUGAUGCAGUAACUUGCCAAGAAAGUUAGGGUUUCUAAUUAGAGCUGCAUGGUUAGCUCUGGGCAUAUUUUGCUCAGCAUGCGUGUUAAAAAACCUAGAGUUGAUAAAUGUUCAUACACAAAUAACACCUGACUAUAGUAUAUUAAGAACUUACAAUUUGUCUCUUAAGGUACCCCGCGUCUCCCUUUCUCCCCUCUGUCUCCUUUCUCCCCACGAUCUCCCUGGUAGCCCUGAUCCCCCACACGUCCCUGUCCUUUCUUCUCCCCCCGCAGACCAGAUGAACCUAUCGGUCCACGAAUUCCAGUGGGUCCAGUUACUCCUGCUAUUCCUUGGGAGCCUGUUGCUCCACGUGCCCCUCCAGCUCUGGGUGCACCAGGCCAUCCCCGUGCUCCCCGUGGGCCGGUAAUGCUGGUGACAGUUGGGCCUGAUGGUGGGCCCCUUGCCCCUGGUGGUCCUUGUAGGCCCCUUGCCCCUGGUAGACCCUGCACUCCUGGUACACCCUGCGCCCCUGCAUGGUGGACGUGC